AACGAACGCUGGCGGCAUGCCUAACACAUGCAAGUCGAACGAGACCUUCGGGUCUAGUGGCGCACGGUUGCGUAACGCGUGGGAACCUGCCCUUAGGUUCGGAAUAACUCCCCGAAAGGGGUGCUAAUACCGGAUAAUGUCUUCGGACCAAAGAUUUAUCGCCUUUGGAUGGGCCCGCGUUGGAUUAGCUAGUUGGUAGGGUAAAAGCAUACCAAGGCGACGAUCCAUAGAUGGUCUGAGAGGAUGAUCAGCCACACUGGGACUGAGACACGGCCCAGACUCCUACGGGAGGCAGCAGUGGGGAAUAUUGGAACAUGGGCGAAAGCAUGAUCCAGCAAUGCCGCGUGAGUGAUGAAGGCCUUAGGGUUGUAAAGCUCUUUUACCCGGGAUGAUAAUGACAGUACCGGGAGAAUAAGCUCCGGCUAACUCCGUG
rnacentral:rRNA from 1 species